rnacentral:rRNA from 1 species
UGGGGAAUAUUGCACAAUGGAGGAAACUCUGAUGCAGCGAUGCCGCGUGAGGGAAGAAGGUUUUCGGAUUGUAAACCUCUGUCUUUGGGGACGAUAAUGACGGUACCCAAGGAGGAAGCUCCGGCUAACUACGUGCCAGCAGCCGCGGUAAUACGUAGGGAGCAAGCGUUAUCCGGAAUUACUGGGUGUAAAGGGAGUGUAGGCGGGACUGCAAGUCAGAUGUGAAAAUUAUGGGCUCAACUCAUAACCUGCAUUUGAAACUGUAGUUCUUGAGUGAAGUAGAGGUAAGCGGAAUUCCUAGUGUAGCGGUGAAAUGCGUAGAUAUUAGGAGGAACAUCAGUGGCGAAGGCGGCUUACUGGGCUUUUACUGACGCUGAGGCUCGAAAGCGUGGGGAGCAAACA